rnacentral:lncRNA from 1 species
AGUGAGCAUGGACGCAGAUCCUCUCCCAGUGGAGCAUUUGGAUGACCACGGCUCUGGCUAACACCUCACUUACAGCCUUGGGAGAGAUUCUGAGUCAGAGGCAUCCAGCUAAAUUGACCCACAGACACGAGUCUCGCUCUGUGGCCCAGGAUGGAGUGCCGUGGUGUGAUCUCGGCUCACUGCAAGCUCUGCCUCCCAGGUUCAUGCCAUUCUCCUGCCUCAGCCUCCCAAGUAGCUGGGACUACAGGCACCCACCACCAUGCCCGGCUAAUUUUUUGCAUUUUUAGUAAAGACGGGAUUUCACCGUGUUAGCCAGGAUGGUCUCAAUCUCCUGACCUCGUGAUCCACCUGCCUCAGCCUCCCAAAGUCCUGGGAUUACAGGCAUAAGCCACCACACCCAGCUGUAAGAAACAUUGCUAAAAACUGAGGUCAUAAAGGCAUUCUUCUAUGCUAUCUUCCAAAUUUUAUAUUUUUGCUUUUCACAUUUACGUAGUCAGUCCACUUGAGAUGGAAUUUUGGGUAUGGAUUAUAUGGGGGCUCAACUUCACUAUAUUCUCUUUAUUGAAGAGCCAAACAUUUCUCAACUCUUCUAGAGUGUAAUCUAUGUCAUAAAUCAGGUUUCUGUAUAUCUACAGUGCUGUUUCUGGGCUCCCUGACCAACUUGCCCAUUCUUUUGCCCCAAAGUAUAAAUUUAUUAAAGUUUAAUAAUAAUUAUUUCCAUUUUAAAGCAUGUGAAAUGCCAUGGUUAUUUCUCAUGUAUUGCCCUUUCAUGUAUAUUUUAGCAAUAGCUUAUCAAAUUCCAUUUAAAAAUCUUUUGAAAUUAUUUUUACUAGAAUUGCACCAAAUCAACAGUUACUGAAUCUUCCAAUCCAUGAACAAGGUUUCUUUGUCCUAUUUUAUACACUUUCUUUGGUAUAUCUCAAUACAAUUUUGUUUUUCUCUAUGAAGCUCUUCCCUAUCAUUUAUGUCUUGAAGUCUUGUAAAUGGUAACUUAUAAAUUAUGUUUUCUCCUGGUUUGCAGACAUAUUGAAAUAGAUGUUUUAUUUUACAUUAAUUAUGUAUUCAGCAAAGUUGCUAUAACUUUAUAUUAUUUCUAAUAACUUAUCUAUAGGUACUUUUUGAGAUUUUUUAAAUAGACAAUCUCAUCAUAUGUGAAUAACAGUUUCAUUUCUUUACAAUUUAUUUCUUUAAUUUCUUUUACUUGCCUUCCAGUACAAUGUCAAAUAUAAAAAGUGACAGAUUUUCCAAUGUUAAACCAUACUUGCAUUCCUGGCUAAACCCAACCUAGCUAUGAUAUAUUAUCUCUUUUAUAUGUUGCUUCAUAUGGUUUGCUAAUAUUUUGUUUAGGACCUUUUUGCAUUGUUUUUAUGAAUGGGAUGGACCUAUAAGUUUUCUUUCUCAUCAUUGUUAGCUUUUGGUACCAAAGUUAUGUUUUAUUACUUCAUACAUCUCACACUGUCAAAGUUUUACUGCAUUCCUGGUAUCAAAGUUGUACUACUUUUGUUUUUCUGUCUUCUGGAAUAAGUUAUAUGCAAUUGGAGAUAUUUGUUCUAGUUUGGUAUAAUUGAUAAUAAAAUGAUUUUGACCUUAUAUUUAUUUUCUUUCUUCUCUUUUUUUUCUUUUCCUCCCUCCCUUUCUUCUAUUUUCUGCUGUUUUUUACUCAUGGUGCUUUAUUUUCCUGCGAACUUUGUACCUUGAAACCGUCAACUCAUAUUUCUCGAAACUUUAACUUUUUUUCUUUGAGUAAAGAUGAACGCCCAAGGAAAGAUAUGCUUUUUUUUUUCUUCUGAAAAGUAACAUAAAUUAAGGCUACUUGUGAUCAUAAUUUGUUAGAAAAAAUUUUUUUGGCUUUUCCACUCAGCACCCAAGGUUUGACACUGGCAAUUUUCCAUGCAGUCCCUGGGGUGAUAGAUUUAUUUUCACCUUACAGAAAGGUGUAGUCCAUGGGGUUCCAGCUUUAUGAUGAAGUUUCCUAAUUAGGCAUCCCAUAUCAGGUGGACCCUGGGUUUUGUCUACUAUAACUCAAAGCAAUACCAAUUACAGUAUCAUCAUAACAUUUAAGCAUUAACGAUAAUUAUGACAUUAUGAUGAGUGAAAGAAGCAGUUCAAGAAAAGUAUGUUCUGCUUUUAUUGUAAUUAUAUUCUAGAAUUAAGUAUGUUGUGCUUUUAUUCUAAUUACAUUCUAGAAUUGGAGAAAUUAACUUAUAGUUUCAAAAAGCAGACUGAAUAGUUGUCUCAGGCUGAGAGUGACUACAAAGUUCCCUAAGGUAACUAUUUGAGGUAAUAAAAAU